CAUUUCCAGCAGCUCCACUCCCUCAAGGCUGGGAGGUGUUUUUUGACUCUCUCUCUAACACACAACCCCCGGGGUCAGGCUCAGCAUGCACCCUGAGUAUCUCAUCCUCGCUGCCUUCCUGUGGCAACCACUGGGUGCCAUGGGCCAGACCACUGUCACCCAGCAAGAGGGACCAGUCCCGGUGGAGGAGAGGGGCACCUUCCACACCACCUGCACAUACCAGACCUCGAACUUUUAUGGCUUGUCUUGGUACCAACAGAAGGAAGACCGAGCCCUGCAAGCUGGUCUCAUCUCAGGCGGCAGCUGGCCUCAAGCAGAGUGGCUGAUUCACCACAGUGCUGAACACCACUGGGUUCUGGAGGCCAAAGCCAGGAGUGAGGGAUCAUCUAAGCUCUGACUGUGGAAUAGUACCUGCCACUGGUGGCUCCUGUAGGGGCUGAAAAGCCUCUUCCUUGUGGCAGUGCUUGUAGGUCUGUGAGGGACAAAUGCUGGGAAAGCAGAGGUGUUUUCAGCCUGUGGAGAUCAGGAACACGUCUGUGUACUCGUCA